CCUACGGGCGGCAGCAGUGAGGAAUAUUGGUCAAUGGUCGCGAGCCUGAACCAGCCAAGUAGCGUGAGGGAUGACUGCACUGCGUAUUGUAAACUUCUUUUAUCAAGGAAUAAAGUCAGGCACGUGUGCCUUGUUGUGUGUACUUUAUGAAUAAGGAUCGGCUAACUCCGUGCCAGCAGCCGCGGUAAUACGGAGGAUCCGAGCGUUAUCCGGAUUUAUUGGGUUUAAAGGGUGCGUAGGCGGUCGGAUAAGUUAGAGGUGAAAUCCCGGGGCUCAACUUCGGACUCGCCUCUGAUACUGUGCGGCUAGAGAGUAGGUGCGGUAGGCGGAAUGGACGGUGUAGCGGUGAAAUGCUUAGAGAUCAUACAGAACACCGAUUGCGAAGGCAGCGUACCAAGUUACUUCUGACGUUGAGGCACGAAAGCGUGGGGAGCAAACAGGAUUAGAUACCCGUGUAGUC
rnacentral:rRNA from 1 species